UACGUAGGGCGCAAGCGUUGUCCGGAAUUAUUGGGCGUAAAGAGCUCGUAGGCGGUCUGUCGCGUCUGGUGUGAAAUCCCAUGGCUCAACCAUGGGCUUGCAUCGGGUACGGGCAGACUAGAGUGCUGUAGGGGAGACUGGAAUUCCUGGUGUAGCGGUGGAAUGCGCAGAUAUCAGGAGGAACACCGAUGGCGAAGGCAGGUCUCUGGGCAGUUACUGACGCUGAGGAGCGAAAGCAUGGGGAGCGAACAGG
rnacentral:rRNA from 1 species